UUUUAUCUAUUGUAAAUUUGCAAUUAUAAUACAUUGGAAAAGGACAGUUCAGAAAAGGCUGAUUAUAGAGUUUUCAAACAAGCAAUUUUCUAAUAUAAAUGUUAAAUUGUAGUAUUUUCCUUUGUUUAUUUAAUUGACCAUGUCCAUACAGGACUUUUAUCGCGUGGAUGUAGGUCUUACAAUGGAACCGGAAGUACAUUUACAUACAAAAAUAUAUUCCGCGAAAAAUUCUGUUGUUGAUGUGCGCUCUACUGCUUGUUUAUUCGUAUGUCAGGUCACAUGUACAUUUCCUGUUAAAACAUUCAACAGACCGCAAACAUGGACGAAUAUGAUGAAAUGUACGGGAUUGAAGAUGAAUUUGAGAAACAGUUUGCGGAUGAACUGGAAGUCAUGGCUGAAAUGAAACGCGAACAUCCUUCAAGUGUAUGCAGUAAGAAGCCGAUUCCAGACGUUUGAGGAAGCCAUUGUGUCCGGUGAUGUGCCAUUGAGAAAAUCAGUAAAUAAACCGUGUCCUGAGAGCAUCUCACCACCAGUGUGUGAGGAGGAGGAAUCUCUGAAUAAGUGCAUUACAGGGGAUUCUCAUGUAAUAAAACAAUAAUUCAGAGCUACACUAUCAUUCAAAAAUUUGAUGUCAGUGAGAUUUUUAUUUCUUGGUUUUGAAAGUCUUUUAUGCUCACCAAGACUAUUACAAUUUUAAAUAACUUUUCUAUUUUAGUAUAUUUUAAUAUGUAAUUUAUUAAUGUGAUGGCAAAGCUGAAUUACUCCAGUCUUGAUCUUUGUUACAUGAUCCUUCAGAAAUCAUUACAGUAUGCUGAUUUUGCUUAAGUAUGCCUAACAUUUAUUAUUAUCAGUGUUGAAAACAUAAUAUUUUUGUGGAAACCAUAAGAAGUCUUUUUCAGGAUUCUAUGAUGAAUAGAAAUUAAUUUUUUAGCAUUUUUUGUAAUAUUAUAUGCUUUUAUUGUAACUUUUGCUCAACUUAAUGCAUCAGUGUUGUAUAAAAGUGUUAAUUUCUUUAAAAAAAAAAAACCCGUUCCAAACCCGUAAGACCUCCUUUUAUCUUUGGAACACAGGUUAAGAUAUUUUAGAUUUAGUCAGAGAGCUCUCAGUCCCUCCAUUGAAACAGUGUGAACAAUAUACUGUCCAUCUCCAGAAAGGUAAGAAAAACAUAAUCAAAGUAGUCCAUGUGACAUCACAGGGUCAGUUAGAAUUUGUUGAAACAUUGAAAAUAAAUCUGUCCAAAAAUAAAAAUUGCGAAGACAAUGGUCUUCUUUUCCUGGUCUGUUGUGAAUGCGUUCAGUGGAGCUGUUGGCUUUCGAGGCUGCUGACGUGUUAUCUCUGUUAUUGGGCACGCCAGAUAACACAUCAGCAGUGCUAAAACAAAUUGCAUAUCAUCUGUACCAUGAUUGGUGUUGACUGCAGUUUAGCAGUUUUCAAUACAAAUUUUUUUGAUAAAUAAAUACAAAUAUGCUUAUGAACUCCUUUAUUUAAAAUGUAAAAGGCGCUACAAUCAAUUGCAGCAGUAAAAUUGUUGAUUUGAGCCAUUUUGCAAGUUUCCAUCAUGUACCAAAGUCGAGCCCUUUGAAGAUUGUCAGUCAUCAAGUGUUCUAGGAAGAAAAGAAAGUUAAGAAGAAAAAAGCCUUCUCCUGGAGCUCAUCUCCCCCAAACUGAGGCCGAUCAACCCUCAGCUUUACAGCACUAGGGAGAAGCAGCAGCUCUAUGAUUUGAUUGACACCAUGAUCAACUAUAACCUGACUUAUAGACAGGACCGCACACCAGAGGGACAGUACACUUGUUCUGGAGCCAUGAGUACAUGCAAAUACACAAACAACAUUACCCUGAUCUACAGACAUAUUGUUCUGUUGGCACUUAAGUUAUGCAUCUCAGACUUCAUCACAAGAAUACACAAUAACACACACAGCGCUGAGAGAUUCUGUAUGUGUUUACCUGUUCAUCACGAUUUAUGAGAGAUUAAGAUGCAUCUCCAGAUUAUUGUCUCUCCCUCCCCUACUCUUCCCCAUUUUUAUUAUUCUUCGUCCACAGUUUCACUUUGGCGAUUCUCUCAGAUGAGAACUUGGAGGUUUUGUGUUACUUGCCUCAUUGCAUGGAUGCACAUGCUCAUCACUUAAAUAUUUACAAAGACCUACAAUCCUCUCUGUGGCUUACCGUGUCCUAGCACUCACAAUGAUUGAGGGGAGUGAUGCUGACAGUGUUCACAAACAAGCUUUGACAGUCAUGUGUGGAGCACUUGCUGCUAACCCUUUAAAAGUCUUCUUGGUGGAGCUAAAGGUGGAUAAAAACCUGGAGUGAGAAGAUAACCAAGGGAACACUUUGGGCUAUUGGAUUGGUUUUCAGACGAAUGAUGCAGCAGUCGUUCCUGCAGGCCCGCUGCGAGGAGACGCUGGUCACCUCGGAUUGGGGGAUUCCUCUGCUGGUCGCCCUGUUACUGCUUCUGCUUGUUUAUGCCUUCCUGUAUCUUCCUGCCAUCUCUUAUCGAGCUCUGCUUCAACAAGUGCUGAGUAACCACACUGAAGCCAUGCCACUGGAAAGUAACAAGACAGACUGAGGAUUGUACAAUUCCCAUGCCAAAUGUUGAAUGACAGUGAAAGCUAACUGCAUUUCCAUUGCAUUGAGGAGAAAUGGUUCAGCAUUGUUAACCAAGAUGAGGCCUGAAGGGAAGAAACAAUCACAUCUCACUUUUGUAAUUAAUACACAGCAAGCAUUUCUAUAUAUAUAUAUAUAUAUAUAUAUAUAUAUAUAUAUAUAUAUAUAUAUAUAUAUAUGUGAAGUCUUCUUUUGUUUUCAUGUGAGAUGCAAUGUCAUAUCAGCAGCAUAGAUAUAUUGAAGUAUCUGCCAACCUUUCAUUGCUGUCCUGUUCUCUCGAAAUGGAAGAAUUAAUUUAUUUUAGUGUGAAAACAAACUUGUGAACUGCUCCAUACUGCUCCACAGAACAUUCUCCAACUGUCCUAGAGAAAUGACUUUGUGUACGUGACCAGGAAUACCCCGCACAACUAAUCCUGCGUUUGGAUUUUCAUCUGCUUGUGUGUAUUGCACAUAUUGUUUAAUUUACUUCUAUUCCUGGAAGAGUGUUUCACCUUCUGAGUAAGACGGAUUAUUGAGCUCACCCGCUUUCCACUCUUUAACCAUCUCAUCUUCAUUUAUAUCCCUCCUCGUUAGAUUCCCUUGUUUGGGUUCUCUUUGGAGUAUAAUAAAAUGUUAUGCAAACGUUUAUGCUGUCAUUAUAUUUAGCUGUUUUCAUGGACUUGUCGUACAUUAAAUGACCUGUGUGUGUUUCCACAAUAGUGUAGAAGAUGUGGUGCAUUUUCCGGGUUUGCCUUCGUGGAGACAGUUAACUUAUCAGGUGAAGCAGCUGAUUGCCAAGGAGACAGAACUGGAGAGGAUGAGGAGGGUGGAGAAAGCCCAGCAGAAAGAAACCCACAAGGCAGAGGCAGUUAAUAAAGUGCAGAAGUGAAGAAACAGAUCAGCAGGGACCAUCAGCAGAGGCUGGAGAACAGACUGUGGUGGAAAAGCAGGGUGAAGAUGCCAAAGGAGCUGGAGUGGUGCAUAUUGGUAAAGCCGUGGGUGACAUUGACAUAUGGUUUUAUUUAAAUGAAGGUGUGUCAAAUACAGUGCGCAGAAACGUUUACAUUCGGGAGUUACUUUAAAGUGAAAUGGUCAAGAAAGUGAAUGAAGCCCAUGUUCAUUUACCACUUAAAUCAAUACAUGAAAAACCCCAAAUUUUCUGAACCUUGUACUGUAAAGUUAAAAAACAAACCUACAGAUCUACAAUAUGUGAAAAAGAAAAAGCACCGGUUCCUC